UCAAGCUGGCAGGUAUUAUAUAUCCACACCUGAGAGCCGGUCUGCUUAGAAUCCUGAUGAGCAUGUAUGGAGUUCCAGCUGCCUCGCACCCUGACUAGCACAUGGAACAGUGAGAAUCCCCCUGGAGUUCCACAGCACCUUCUGCAAACCGAGCUUCAUCCCAGGGAAGAGGAGUGAGGGAUGGGGGCCGGGC